GAGAGUGGGUGUAUAACCUGAAACUGUUUGAAAUGAUAAAACUUUAUGUAACUACUCUAUAAUAGUAAGAAUAGGAGUUAGGCAACCAAAUGUCUAUUUAGAUAAGGCAGACUUCAUAAAGAGUGUAU